rnacentral:misc_RNA from 1 species
AACUUUUAGCAAUGGAUCUCUUGGCUCUCGCAUCGAUGAAGAACGCAGCGAAAUGCGAUAAGUAAUGUGAAUUGCAGAAUUCAGUGAAUCAUGGAAUCUUUGAACGCACCUGGCGCCCUGCGGACAUUCCGAAGGGCAUGCCUGUUUGAGGAUCAUGUACACCUCAACUCUUCAUGGGUUUCCAUGAUGAUCUUGGACUUUGGGGGGUUUUGCUGGCCUACAGUCAGCUCCUCUAAAAUAAAUCAGCUGGCCCGUGUUUGGUGGGCAUCGCAGGUGUGCUCCCUAUCCACGCUUGUGGUUUUCCACCAGGUACCCUUCAGCAGUGGCGGUUCACUGGAGCUCACAGCUGAGUCUCCCCUCAGUGAGGACAGCCCUUUGAAUGUUUGAUCUCAAAUCAGGUAGGACUGCCCGCUGCACCUAAGCAUAUCAAUAAGCCGAGGCU